GUUGUAGUGGUUUUCUAUCGACAUCGUCACCGUUUUAAAUGCUGUAAACUUUUUUGACGUUUCGUUUAUUCAUCAAUUUCUUGGUUUGUUUAAGGGGCGUGUACUUAAGCGGGUAAUUUUUUGUGUUGUUUGUGCAAAAAGGGUGAUAACAUAAUAUAAUUUUAAAAAAGAACUUUUAAAAUUAGCUAAAUCUAUUACAAAAGGCUCGUAAAAAAUCAAAAUGUGGUCUAUAAAAAUAGAUGUGUGGAAGUCAACAAUGAAAUACGAGUGCAACAGCGAAAACUAUACUGUGGAAAAUGUUUUGUGGAAGAUGUUGUCGAAAGUGGUGCUGUUUGGUAGAAACGUCUCCUCCAAAAAUAUGUUUGGAGAAUUUGUUUUUUAUAUUGAAGGAAGAAGGCCUAGACUGUCCACUUACUAGAAAAACAUUUUUGGACAGAACAACACAACUUUUAAUUAAAAACGUCUCGCCUGGAAGUUAUUGAUGGAAUUCCACUGCUCAAGAGCUCGUGUAUCCAGUUGUGGCCCAUUCUUUGCAGAGUUGUAAACGUGCAAGAGAAAAUAAAACCGUUUGUCGUUGGAAUAUAUUUGGGGACAAAAAAGAUUUGAAAGAUUUCAUUGAAGACAAUUAUGUUGAGAAAUCAGCUUGUGUUAAAUGAAAAAAAAAAAUAUAUAUACAAUUUAGGUUACGUUGCUUAUCGUGUGAUGCACCAGCAAAAGCUUUUGUCUGUGACGUUCCUGUGCAUACAUCAGUAAAUAGUUGUACAAAGUGUACCGAAAUUGAAAAAAAAACAAUUAAAGAAAUACAAAAACCACCACACACAAAUGUUUAAAAUCAAGAAAAGUGCCUUUGAAGAAAUAGGAUUUGGCAUUAUAUGACAAACUCCAUUAGAUAGCAUGCCCUAUCGACCUUGGAGUCACGAGAAAAAUGCUAAUCAGGAUAGUCCAUAAUAAAACAGAGAAGAACACAUCAAACAAAAUAUUUCUAAGAUAUCUUCUGAACUGAAGCCAAACCAAAAAUGUAUUCCAAAGGAGUUUCCGAGAAAACACAGGCCUUAGAAGAUUUACAGCACUGGAAAGCUGAUUUUCACCAGUUUCUUGGUUAUACAUGCAUAGUUGCUCUUUCAAUGUCCGCACUCUGCUUUAUUUGGCUUCUUGUGCAGAAGCAUAUGGUCCUCGGAUUUCUUUUCUGCAUACUGCAUUGAAAACAAAUUGCAGAUUUUAAAAAGACAUUUUCGAAAACCAUCGCCGAUUCUUCAACAAAUCGUUUAAAAGGAACGCCCAGUUCGUGCAAAGUAAAACGAAAGGGCAUAAAUAAGAAAGGGGUGUAAUUGUUGGAGCUUUUGUAAACUAUUGGUAUAUUUCCUGCAAGGGACCGAAUAAUAUUUGUUGCGUGAAAUCAUGCAUUCCACUACAAAUUGAAAAUGUAAUAAAAAAGAAGACGCUGUUUACAUUGAAGGACGUCGAUAGCUGAUUCUAGAGAGUUUUUACAAAGAAUGAAUUCUUGUGAGCUUGGAUUUUUUUGAAACUAAUCUUGCUUUCGGAAUUUGUAAUAAUACCUAUUUUACACUCCAGCCUUCCUGAAAACUACUAACUCAAUUAUAAUUAUGUCGACAUCUUAAAAAAUUUUAAACAUAUCGACAAACCAGGUCCAUCUAGUCUUGCAAAAAAAAUUAAGUAUUUUCAUACCCAAGCUAAUCCGAGUUGUUCUAAUUGCCAAGACGUUGCAAAAAAUGGAUACGGUUCUAGAGAUUUUGGCUGAGCACAAAGUUUUGUUUGAUCGUCUCGUUUCCCAAAAUGUAUUUUUUUAUGAGAUAAUGUAAAUUUUUUUCCAAUUAAUUCAGAGAAAAAACUGAAAGAACUUGAUAGUAUUCUUGGAACAAAAGCGGAGAAUUUUUAAGUAAAUAUUAAAUGGUUAUUAUGAAAGAUCCGACGAAUGAAAAAUCAACAUUUAAUGAAUCGCCAGACAAAACGUUAAGAAAAGCCUUUCAACAUCAAAAGAAACUAUUUUUAAGCAGAAUAGCCGAAAUAUAAUGGCAAAGGACGAAAAGAAAAUGUGCCAGAACAAAAAUUUUUUAACAUUCAAAAUUAACCUGAUUAUUAAUUCAUAUUCAUUUAUCACAAUUUUUAAAUUGUUUAUAUGUUGCCUAUAGAAACGAAAAGACUAAUCUAUUGUUUAAAAAGUAUUAUCUUAGAACAA